rnacentral:tRNA from 1 species
GCGGGUGUAGUACAAUGGUUAGUACGCCAGCCUUCCAAGCUGGAUACGUGAGUUCGAUUCUCAUCACCCGCUCCA